AUACGUAGGGGGCAAGCGUUGUCCGGAAUUAAUGGGCGUAAAGCGCGCGCAGGCGGUUCUUUAAGUCUGGUGUUUAAACCCGAGGCUCAACUUCGGGACGCACUGGAAACUGGGGAACUUGAGUGCAGAAGAGGAGAGUGGAAUUCCACGUGUAGCGGUGAAAUGCGUAGAUAUGUGGAGGAACACCAGUGGCGAAGGCGACUCUCUGGGCUGUAACUGACGCUGAGGCGCGAAAGCGUGGGGAGCGAACAGGAUUAGAUACCCUGGUAGUCCACGCCGUAAACGAUGAAUGCUAGGUGUUAGGGGUUUCGAUACCCUUGGUGCCGAAGUUAACACAUUAAGCAUUCCGCCUGGGGAGUACGGUCGCAAGACUGAA
rnacentral:rRNA from 1 species